rnacentral:lncRNA from 1 species
CCUAAAUAUUUUUCUAAUUUAAAAAAUUCAUAUGUAAAGAGUAAUUCUCUGAAAUAUUAUGAAAUGAAUUUUUUAAGUGAAAAAGCAAAACUUCAUCCUAUAAUAUUAAGAAUAUACUUGUAGGCAAUUAUCUUGGCCUUAAGAGCUGGAUCAUGUCAUCAUCUCUAAAAAAUUACAAAUUUGUCCUUUUUAAAUUAAUCUUCUUUAAAAAAUUACAAAUUAAAGGACACUUGGCUAAGUUCUUAAACUAUCUAUAAAGGUUUGAUAACUGAUCAAGUCACAUAUCAUAAUGGCUCAAUGGAAUAUUUUUAUGAUUGAGCAGUGAUUAUGGAUGAAAUAAAUUUAGAGAAUAUUGUAUUUCAACUAUCUAGGAACAGCACGGUACCAUUUGGAAAUUUUUCCAUAUAAUUGCAAGUUUUGAAUUAGGGAAGGUUUGAGAAUUACUGACAACUUCAGAAGGGUAAGAAAAAUCACCUGAAAUGCAUCUAUUUCUGCCAGUGCUCUCAAAUUCUGAAGUUGAGCGUGUAAUGUGUUUCGGAAGAGAUCUUAAGAUUCUCAGAAGUAUAAUGAAUCCAGUGAUGACUCAACAACCAAGCCCUGAAUGUUGCUUGAUUGUUCAGAGCCAGCUGAGUGAUGCCGAGCCAGGGGUGUACAGGGCCCUGCCUCAGGAGCUGAAAAUCCAGCUAGGAGUUGAGGGAGAGACAACUGCAAGAAAGAAGGCUCAAGGUGCAGGGACAGAUUCAGGACCUUGCACUGGAAAUGCGAAGGAGGAAUGAAUUACAGCCACAUUGCAGCCUCGAAAGAAAGGGGGUCUUGAUGAUGAUUUGACCACAGGGAGUAAAAAAAGGAGGAGACUCAAAGUUGGCCUCGAGGGAAGGGUGAGAAGGGAGCUUCACAGAAUGGGAGCUGAGCGGGGCCAGGCGCCUUCCAGAAAGGCCUUGAAAAGUCUGGCUUCUGAGGACUUUCCAAAAUCAGUGCUUGGCUUUUCACAAAAAUGAACUCUGAUUUAGAAAUAAGCUUUCUGAUCAUGACCUUCCCUUUUUUAUCAUUCACAUCUAUAAUGUCACCCCAUAUUCAUCUUCUCAACUCCCCCAAACUAACAACUGUCAGGUAAUAUUGCUGGGUGACUUUUAU